rnacentral:ncRNA from 1 species
UAGUGGCGGCUAGUCUAGGUUUUUCUGCCUCUUCAUCAGCGGAGGAAAUGAAACUAACAAGGAUUCCCCUAGUAACGGCGAGUGAAGAGGGAAAAGCUCAAGUUUGAAAGCUGGUACCUUCGGUGUCCGCUUUGUAAACUCGAGAAGCAUUAUCCGCGCCGGACCGAGCUUUAAAUCCUUUGGAAUAAGGUACCUUAGAGGGUGAUAGUCCCUUUCAUAGUUCGGGGCCCCCGGGGCUUUGUGAUUUGCUCUCCAAGAGUAGAUCGGAAGAGC